AGUAAUGUAGGUUAAGAAAACCAUUGGAUUUAUUAUCUAAAAAUACACUAAGUGUCAUUAUUA
rnacentral:tRNA from 1 species